GACGAACCGUGCGAACGUUAUUCGGAAUCACUGGGCUUAAAGCGCGUGUAGGCGGACGGGGACGUCGGUCGCUGAAAUCCCCCGGCUCAACCGGGGAACGGGCGCCGAAGCGCCCCGUCUCGAGGGACGUAGGGGGACCUGGAACUUCCGGUGGAGCGGUGAAAUGCGUUGAGAUCGGAAGGAACACCAACGGCGAAAGCACUCUGCUGGGCCGACACUGACACUGAGAGACGAAAGCUAGGGGAGCGAAUGGG
rnacentral:rRNA from 1 species